rnacentral:rRNA from 1 species
UACGAAGGGGGCUAGCGUUGUUCGGAUUUACUGGGCGUAAAGCGCGUGUAGGCGGGCCGUUAAGUUGGGGGUGAAAGCCCGAGGCUCAACCUCGGAACUGCCUUCAAAACUGGCGGCCUGGAGCAGAUGAGAGGCGAGUGGAAUUCCGAGUGUAGAGGUGAAAUUCGUAGAUAUUCGGAGGAACACUAGUGGCGAAGGCGACUCGCUGGCAUCUUGCUGACGCUGAGACGCGAAAGCGUGGGGAGCAAACAGG